CUUCCGCGUGUGCGCACCUGGUCCUGCUUUUCCGGCUGCGCACGAAUCUCUCAGGUGUGGUGGGCAGGCCGGACCUAGAGCGCUGCUUUCAGCGUUUCAUCUCCGAGCAAACUCACAGGCGUCUUUAGAGCUUUCUCAGGCACUCAGUUAUUUGCUCCUCAGAACAGUUUCGGAGAGAGAAGAGGCAGAAAUCACUGAGUGAGACAAAGAUGGCGUCCACCAGCCUUUGUCCUUGGAGGGUACGCCAGCAGGCAUGUGUGUUAAAUCUGAUCUCUGCUCCUCGGACCAACACUCUAAGGUCACCUGAAGCAAAUGCCUCAGCUCUCCAUGGUUCGCCUGUAUUCUGCCGUCCCAUCGGCGAUGACGGCAUCCAGGGGAUAGCGCUUCUUGCGGAUGCUGCGCCCGGAGGAGAUGAGGUCGGCGUAGCCACGCUGGUGGGAGAAAGCGUAGGCCGAGCGCCGCCUGGACACGCCCCGGCGGAACACAUUCUGCCGCCGCUUCCACUGCUCUUCGGCUUUUAACUGCUUUCGGUGCUUCUGAAUCUACGGAAGCGAGAGAGAUGGGAUACUUAGUUCCUUCCUCCAAUUUUUUUACUCUAAAAAAUAACAUUGUGGACUUCCCUGGUGGUGCAGUGGUUGGGAAUCUGCCUGCCAGUGCAGGAGACAUGGGUUCGAUCUCUGGUCUGGGAAGAUCCCACAUGCCACGGAGCAACUAAGCCCGCGUGCCACAACUACUGAGUCUGCGUGCCACAACUGCUGAGUCUGCGUGCCACAACUGCUGAGUCUGCGUGCCACAACUGCUGAAGCCCACACACCUAGAGCCCGUGCUCCGCAACAAGAGAAGCCACCGCAAUGAGAAGCCCGCGCACCACUGCGAGGAGUGGCCCCCGCUCACCACAACUAGAGAAAGCCCGCGUGCAGCAACUAAGACCCAACACAGCCAUAAAUAAAUAAAUAAACAAACAAAAAAAUGGCCUUCUCUCAAACCACUAAAAAAAAAGUUUAAAAUAAAUAAAUAAUAAAAAAACAUUGUAAUAAGCA